rnacentral:rRNA from 1 species
AAAGAAAGCGUAAUAGCUCACUGGUCGAGUCGGCCUGCGCGGAAGAUGUAACGGGGCUAAACCAUGCACCGAAGCUGCGGCAGCGACACUCAGGUGUUGUUGGGUAGGGGAGCGUUCUGUAAGCCUGUGAAGGUGUGUCGUGAGGCAUGCUGGAGGUAUCAGAAGUGCGAAUGCUGACAUAAGUAACGAUAAAGCGGGUGAAAAGCCCGCUCGCCGGAAGACCA